GCCUGGGUGGCUCAGUCGGUUGAACUUCUGACUUCGGCUCAGGUCUUGAUCUUGCAGUCCGUGGGUUCAAGCCCCACGUCAGGCA
rnacentral:tRNA from 1 species